rnacentral:rRNA from 1 species
UCGAAACCUGCCCAGCAGAGCGACCCGUGAACACGUUCAACCUCGUGGGUGUUUGGGCGUUGCCCGGUGCCUCGUGUACCGGCUCGUCCCUCUCCCAGGCAGGGGAACGCUCACUUGUGGGCUGUUUCCCCGGCCAAACAACGAACCCCGGCGCGUAAUGCGUCAAGGAAUAUGAACUCUAUGUGUGUGCUCUCCCGCUGCCCGGUUAGCCGGGCGUUGGAGUGGUGCCAUGUCUUAACAAUA